rnacentral:rRNA from 1 species
UAAGGGCUCUGCAAGUCCGAUGGCAUACAGUCCUGGCUUUUCUGCAGCGUAAGGUAGGGCAGGAACUAGUGCACCGCAAGAGCGGUUACAGGGGCAGACAUAUUCCCUGCGAAAUGGGUGAUGGCAACUAUUAUGGGUCCAAAAGAAUCCGUAUCCGUUCAGACAAGUAGGUUUGAAAAUUACCUCCGUGGUAGGAUUGGAAUCCAGCAAAACCGGUCGGGCCAGGGGCCGGAAGAGCUGAUCGGGAAGUCCGAGGUAGCAGUGAAAUACCAUAAUUCUGGUCUCAACCCCGGUUACAAAAGCGCCUAAGGAAGACCGUAACGGAGGUUAGGUAGGAAAGCUGCGGUCUAGGACCCUAUUAUAUACCGUAGUAGUCCCAUCAAGCAAGGCUCCUCGGAAGUACGUGCGCAAGGAUCAAACUUACGCUGAUCCGUAGGGAAGCCGAAAAGCGAGCCGCUUCAGAAGUCUUCCGCAAGGAUGAAACUAUAAGGAACUGCGGG